rnacentral:rRNA from 1 species
UACGUAGGGUGCGAGCGUUGUCCGGAAUUAUUGGGCGUAAAGAGCUCGUAGGCGGUUUGUCGCGUCUGCCGUGAAAGUCCGGGGCUCAACUCCGGAUCUGCGGUGGGUACGGGCAGACUAGAGUGAUGUAGGGGAGACUGGAAUUCCUGGUGUAGCGGUGAAAUGCGCAGAUAUCGGGAGGAAUACCAGUGGCGAAGGCGGCUUCCUGGCCUGUUCUUGACGCUGAGGCGCGAAAGCUAGGGUAGCAAACGGG